ACGAGUGGCGGACGGGUGAGUAAUGCUUGGGAACUUGCCUUUGCGAGGGGGAUAACAGUUGGAAACGACUGCUAAUACCGCAUAAUGUCUUCGGACCAAACGGGGCUUCGGCUCCGGCGCAAAGAGAGGCCCAAGUGAGAUUAGCUAGUUGGUAAGGUAACGGCUUACCAAGGCGACGAUCUCUAGCUGUUCUGAGAGGAAGAUCAGCCACACUGGGACUGAGACACGGCCCAGACUCCUACGGGAGGCAGCAGUGGGGAAUAUUGCACAAUGGGGGAAACCCUGAUGCAGCCAUGCCGCGUGUGUGAAGAAGGCCUUCGGGUUGUAAAGCACUUUCAGUUGUGAGGAAAAGUUAGUAGUUAAUACCUGCUAGCCGUGACGUUAACAACAGAAGAAGCACCGGCUAACUCCGUGCCAGCAGCCGCGGUAAUACGGAGGGUGCGAGCGUUAAUCGGAAUUACUGGGCGUAAAGCGCACGCAGGCGGUUUGUUAAGCUAGAUGUGAAAGCCCCGGGCUCAACCUGGGAUGGUCAUUUAGAACUGGCAGACUAGAGUCUUGGAGAGGGGAGUGGAAUUCCAGGUGUAGCGGUGAAAUGCGUAGAUAUCUGGAGGAACAUCAGUGGCGAAGGCGACUCCCUGGCCAAAGACUGACGCUCAUGUGCGAAAGUGUGGGUAGCGAACAGGAUUAGAUACCCUGGUAGUCCACACCGUAAACGCUGUCUACUAGCUGUGUGUGCCUUUAAGGCGUGCGUAGCGAAGCUAACGCGCUAAGUAGACCGCCUGGGGAGUACGGCCGCAAGGUUAAAACUCAAAUGAAUUGACGGGGGCCCGCACAAGCGGUGGAGCAUGUGGUUUAAUUCGAUGCAACGCGAGAACUUACCUACACUUGACAUG
rnacentral:rRNA from 2 species